UCCUUUUUUAAUAAUCAAGCUGUCGAGAUAAUCCGUAACGGGAAAACUCGCUAACAGCACCAAAAAUGGUGUCGUCUGCUUAUACAAAGAGAAUUGUGACACAGGGAACGAGUAGAGUUCAGUUCUGCCGCAGAAAACGCUAAGCAGCGGCGUUUUGUCUUUGUUAAGGUCGUUCGUUGUUAGCUUGCCAAAAGGAUUGGUUCUCAAGAGGGACAAAAGGAUCCUCGCUCGUGUAACCACGGUGGAGUAUGCUGACGUGGUGACGGUGGCACUGGAAGAGGCUUGUCGAUUCUCCUUGCUUUGUUGCAUUAUGUAAUUAUAAUAUAUUCUCUCUCGUAGGAUAAUUUUCCUUACUGCUUAUGUAUCCUUGUUUUGUAAAAUAGGUCAAAGUAUUGUAUAUUGUAAUGUCUAUAGCUUUUUCAAUUAUUGUCUUAUAAUAUAUACUUUUUUUUUGUA